rnacentral:miRNA from 1 species
CGGCUCGGCUCGGCUCGGCACGGCUCGGCUCGGCUGCUCGGCUCGGCUCGACUCGGCUCGGCUCGGCUGCGCGGUCGCGG